AUUGAACGCUGGCGGCAGGCCUAAAACAUGCAAGUCGAACGAGUGGCGGAAGGGUGAGUAAUGUCAGGGAAACUGCCUGAUGGAGGGGGAUAACUACUGGAAACGGUAGCUAAUACCGCAUAACAUCAGAUGUGCCCAGAUGGGAGUCGCUAGUAGGUGGGGUAACGGCUCACCUAGGCGACGAUCCCUAGCUGGUCUGCGAGGAUGACCAUCCACACUGGAACUGAUACACGGUCAAGCCUCCUACUGGAGGCCGCAGUGGGGAAUAUUGCACAAUGGGCGCAAGACUGAUGCAGCCAUGCCGCUUGUAUGAAGAAGGCCUUCGGGUUGUAAAGUACUGUCAGCGGGGAGGCGUUACCCGCAGAAGAAGCACCGGCUAACUCCGUGCCAGCAGCCGCGGUAAUUC
rnacentral:rRNA from 1 species